AGGAUAAUAGUUAAAAAUAACAUUUAACUUGCAAUUAAAAAGUAUUGAACAAUCAAUUUAUCUU
rnacentral:tRNA from 1 species